rnacentral:rRNA from 1 species
AUUGAACGCUGGCGGCAGGCCUAACACAUGCAAGUCGAACGGUAACAGGGAUCAGCUUGCUGAUUCGCUGACGAGUGGCGGACGGGUGAGUAAUGUCUGGGAAACUGCCUGAUGGAGGGGGAUAACUACUGGAAACGGUAGCUAAUGCCGCAUAACGUCGCAAGACCAAAGAGGGGGACCUUCGGGCCUCUUGCCAUCGGAUGUGCCCAGAUGGGAUUAGCUAGUAGGUGGGGUAACGGCUCACCUAGGCGACGAUCCCUAGCUGGUCUGAGAGGAUGACCAGCCACACUGGAACUGAGACACGGUCCAGACUCCUACGGGAGGCAGCAGUGGGGAAUAUUGCACAAUGGGCGCAAGCCUGAUGCAGCCAUGCCGCGUGUAUGAAGAAGGCCUUCGGGUUGUAAAGUACUUUCAGCGGGGAGGAAGGGAGUAAAGUUAAUACCUUUGCUCAUUGACGUUACCCGCAGAAGAAGCACCGGCUAACUCCGUG